AAGAACUUAAGUUAAAUAAACUAUUGACCUUCAAAGUCAAAUAUAUAAAAAUAAUAUUUUCUAGAUCUUA
rnacentral:tRNA from 1 species